UCUCAAAAUCAAAAUGGUAACCCGCAAUUGAGUAGGAUGAUACGAAGCUUAAAAGCUAAGUACAGCAAAUAUUGGGGUGCCUCUAAAAAAACAAACUUCCUUCUAUAUGUUGUUGUAGUUCUUGAUCCAAGGUAUAAGUUGAAGUUUUUGAAAUAUCGGUUUCGGGAGUUUUGGGGGGAUGAUGUUGCUGAUAAGAUGACUACGAAGGUAAAAAGGACUUUACGAAAAAUGUGUGAUGAGUACUUCUUCAAUAUGACUAGAGGUGAACUGAGUACUGGCAUUAGUGCACAUAGUGAUUCUUCUCAUGUGUCAAUGGCCAAGAAAUUUAAGAAAUUUCUUGAUAAGGAAGCGCCAAAUGAUUGCAGGAUGGAGAUAGACAACUAUUUAUAUGAAUGUUGUCAUCGAAGAGACGAUACAGAUUUCGAUGUUUUGAAAUGGUGGAAGUUGAACUCUUCUCGAUUUUUAAUCCUCAGUCAAAUAGCCAAGGACGUCUUUGCCAUUCCUCUCACCACGGUUGCAACUUUUGAAACUGAAGCCCGUGUGCUGGAAUCGUUUUCGACGCUCAUUUACUCCUAAGAUGUUAGAAGCCAUCAUUUGUGCUCAAAAUUGGCUACAAUCGAAACCACUCUUGGUUGAAGGAGGUGAUGAAACAGAAGAUAUUGAUAAAAUAGAUCAAGAAUUUUCCAAAGUUUUCAUGGGGAUCAACUUGGACUCCAUUGCAGAUUGAGAACUUCAAGAUUUUCAGUUGCAAAGCAAGAGGCUAUGGUAAAGAUUUUGGCCAUCAAUGUGGGAAUCAUUAAGCAGGAGGAGGAAUUUUCAGAGACAGGCCAUCUUCCUUUGAGCACUGUUACUAUAUGGGUACGUAUUUUUCUUUAAGUUGUAAAAGGUUCCAAAGUUUUCAUUUUGUAGUGAGAGAUUAGGUGAACCUUUGGCCUAUAGCAUUCUCUUUUGUUGGGAUGUAUAAUUUCUAUUAUUGGAGAGAUUCCUGCUCUAAAGGUAAGGUACCAA